rnacentral:rRNA from 1 species
AUUGAACGCUGGCGGCAUGCUUUACACAUGCAAGUCGAACGGUAACAGGCCGCAAGGUGCUGACGAGUGGCGAACGGGUGAGUAAUGCAUCGGAACGUGCCCAGUCGUGGGGGAUAACUACUCGAAAGAGUAGCUAAUACCGCAUACGAUCUAUGGAUGAAAGCGGGGGACCGUAAGGCCUCGCGCGAUUGGAGCGGCCGAUGUCAGAUUAGGUAGUUGUUGGGGUAAAGGCUCACCAAGCCAACGAUCUGUAGCUGGUCUGAGAGGACGACCAGCCACACUGGGACUGAGACACGGCCCAGACUCCUACGGGAGGCAGCAGUGGGGAAUUUUGGACAAUGGGCGCAAGCCUGAUCCAGCAAUGCCGCGUGCAGGAAGAAGGCCUUCGGGUUGUAAACUGCUUUUGUACGGAACGAAACGGCUCUGGUUAAUACCCGGGGCUAAUGACGGUACCGUAAGAAUAAGCACCGGCUAACUACGUG